rnacentral:pre_miRNA from 1 species
AAAUCUCUGCUGGCAAAUGUGGUGUCACGGUAGCAAUCGCACAAUUACCUGUAGAGAUUCUG